rnacentral:rRNA from 1 species
AUUGAACGCUGGCGGCAUGCUUUACACAUGCAAGUCGAACGGUAACAGGCCUUCGGGUGCUGACGAGUGGCGCACGGGUGAGUAAUGCAUCGGAACGUGCCCAGAGGUGGGGGAUAACGCAGCGAAAGCUGUGCUAAUACCGCAUGUGAUCUGAGGAUGAAAGCGGGGGACCAAGCAGCAAUGUUUGGCCUCGCGCCUCUGGAGCGGCCGAUGUCAGAUUAGGUAGUUGGUGGGGUAAAGGCCUACCAAGCCGACGAUCUGUAGCUGGUCUGAGAGGACGACCAGCCACACUGGGACUGAGACACGGCCCAGACUCCUACGGGAGGCAGCAGUGGGGAAUUUUGGACAAUGGGCGCAAGCCUGAUCCAGCAAUGCCGCGUGCGGGAAGAAGGCCUUCGGGUUGUAAACCGCUUUUGUACGGAACGAAAAGGCUCUGGCUAAUACCUGGGGCUGAUGACGGUACCGUAAGAAUAAGCACCGGCUAACUACGU